ensembl:lncRNA
AUGCUUGUACAUAUGUGUGUGGGUGGCUGUGUGUCUGAGCACUCGUUUAUAGGUGCCUUCAGGCCUGGUGGGUGUGGCCCUGCUAGGGGACUGGCCACACCCGAAGCCACGCACCUGCUGCUGAUCAGGCCUCGUCGGGGGAGCUACUUAAGAGAGUCUUGGAGCUCCCACUGGCGCGGGAUCAUUGCGAGGAGCGUGGGAGGCCUGAAGAGCGGCGAGCACCGGGAGUGCGACACACGGGAGCAGAGAGCACAAGGAGGACACGUCACGGGAGUCUGGGGAAAACACGGAGAUUUAUUAUUGUUUGUACCACACACUGUAAAUAAACACACUGUUCGCACACAGAGCACCACGCCUGGGUCCUCCUUCCCUACAUCCCCACGGUCUGCCAGCACAGACCGUGACAGAAUGAUCCCGCCAGACAUGGACCCAGCGGUCUCUGAGGAGAGGCUCAGGAGGGAGAUUAUGGACAGGGUUUACAGACUCUGUGAGUUGUGGUGGGAGAAGCCCGCAGAAGGGUUGCGUCGCGCCGUGGGGAGGCGGCUGCAGGAGACGCUUUUUAAAUUCCCUUGGCUGGUUGACGAUCUCAAUCCUGUCGUCAUGGACUUCCUGCUUUCCACCCUCCACCUCCACUCUCCUCCUCAGGCUGCUCACCAGCCCAGACAGCUGGUGGAUUCAAAGCCUGACACGCCGGCCCCGACGUCUACCCGGAGACGACGUUUGCGCCGCCAGCGUUCCUCACCGCAGCCUAAUCCACGGACAUCUCAAGAGCCGGCUGUGGUGAGCAAUACGGACAUUUUUUCAUUUCCCUCACCAUCUGUUUGUGUGUCUGCAGUGGACGAUGACGCUGCCGUAAGCCAUCCGACGGCGCAAGUAACAUCACCUCGGUCAGAGGUCUCCACACCACUCGCUGCUUCACCAUCUGCAGUUGUAGCGCCGCCGUCAUCUCAUCCGCCUGCAGUCACCCUUCUGCCAUCUUCUUCACCGGCUGCUACGUCACCACUCGGACCUGUCCUGCCCGAGCAGGAGCUCAGCUCGCCGGAGCAGCUGCCGGAGGAGCUCAAGAAGCCGGAGCCGCUCAGGGAGCCGGAGCUGCUGCUGGAGGAGCUCAGGGAGCCAGAGCCGCCGCCGCUGCGUUGCCAGCGGAGGAGCUCGACCAGCGGGAGGAGCCUGUGCUGCCAGCGGAAGACCUCGGCAAGCCGGUGGGACCCGCUCAGCCGAAGCUGGAGGUUAGCGAGCUGGAGCUGGAGCUCAGUGAGCAGGAGCAGGAGCUCAGAGAGCGGGAGGAGCCCGCACCGCCAGCUGCGAAGCCCUGCGAGCCGGAGCAUUAGCUCGGAGAGCGGGAGGAGCCCGCACCGCCAGCUGAGGAGCUCAGCGUGCCGGAGGAGCCAGCGCCGCUGCCGGAGGAGCUCAACGAGCCGGAGGGACCGGCGUUGCCAGCAGAGGAGCUCGGCCAGCGGAGGACCUCAGCAAGCCGGAGGGACCUCCACGUCUAGCGCACCCUCCACGCCAUCCACGUCCAGCGCGUCCACGUCAGCGACCAGCGCGCUACACUGCUGCUCACUGUUGCUCGCCGGAGCAACGUCGUUGCCGUCGGACCCGGGGCAAGCCACCGGAGGAGCAGCACUGCCGCCACUGGACCCGGGGCAAGCCGCCGGAGGAGCAGCGCCGCCGCCACUGGACCCGGGCCAGGCCACCGGAGGAGCAGCGCCGCCGCCUCGGGAUCAGGGGAAGGCCACCAGAACCGUUUCGCCGCUGCUGCCGGACCCAUGGCCGCCCGCCGGAGCUGCAACGCUGCCGCCAUUGGAGGUAGGCCACCUGAACUCUUUUGUUGUAGUGAUGGGCCGCCUGGGACUGUUUUGUGGCGUCUUUUCUUUUUUUUGCACCGCUGCUGGAUGCGCGGUCUGACUUUGGGACUGUGAACUGUGAGGGUUUGUUAUUUUGUUGUUUCUGCUUGUUUUGGUUCUGAAGAAAUUGAAGUUUAUGGAGCGACUUAUUGGGGAGACCAAAUAAGAGGGAGUUGCAAUAAUCGAUCCGGGAAGUAAUAAGACUAUGGACAAGGAUGGCAGCAGCAUGGGGAGUAAGGAAGGGACGAGGUUGGUUAUUGUUACGUAAGACAAAGUAUGCAGCUAAUUUAUUAUCUGCAUACUUUCACUUACACUUCUUGUGUUUCAAGUGAACACAUUUUAACUGGACCAGACUCAACUGCUUUUAAACUCAUACAUUCCCAAUGAUAAGCAAAUGCAAACUUUUGUUUCCUUGCAAGUGAUACAGUCAAAUUCUUAAAGUUCUUAACACAGUCUUUGAAAAAUAUGUUUGGCUUCAAAUCUCAUGGUCCAGAUAUGAAUGAGAGGACUAAUCUUUCGAAUGCACCUUGGAUAGUGGACCAUGAAAUGAUGUUUUGGAAUUAAGUUGUUUAAUGGGUAUAGUUCCUCAGAGUCUAUGGUGUUCAAUAAUCAGGUGCUUUAAAUACACAGUCAUUCCUUCAGUGAUAGAGUAUGAGAAAACAAUGUUUAGAAUGUGCAACAACAAAAGCAACAAAUGCCAGUGCAAAUCAUCCUCUGGUACCAGGCCACCAAAUUUCAAAGGUAUGUUUGUGAUCAAACAAAGUGUUUGUGAUGCAUUUAAACCUAUUCCAUGUCCUGCACGAUCCAGAUUAAUAUUCAUUGGUUUAUUUUUCUUUUCUAUAUAGCCAUAAUUAAAAGCAUUUAUCCCAUUUAACAAGCUAUCUUUAGAGAUGAGGUAUUCAAUUAAAUAUUGAAAUAGCAGCUUGACUUCAUAUUGACCAACCCCUUCCAAAAUAUCAUGCAUGAUGUCAACGGCAAAAUUUUCCACAAUAUUGAAAUACUUUAAUGAAUUAAGUAUACUCUUUCUUUUUAUGCUGAAUGAAGAUGUUAAUGUUGGAUCAUCUACCAAAUAAUUAUAAUGUUGGUUAUUCAGAA